CCCUUAGAUGUUCUGGGCCGCACGCGCGCUACACUGAUGCAUUCAACGAGCACCCGCUGGGCCGAGAGGUCCGGCUAAUCUUUGAACGUGCAUCGUGCUGGGGAUAGAUGAUUGCAAUUAUUCAUCUUCAACGAGGAAUUCCUAGUAAACGCAAGUCAUCCGCUUGCAUUGAUUACGUCCCUGCCCUUUGUACACACCGCCCGUCGCACCUACCGAUUGAAUGGUCCGGUGAAAUUCUCGGACGCGGACUUGCGAUGUUAAUUCGGAGCUUGACUGUGAAAGUUAAUUAAACCUUACCAUUUAGAGGAAGGUGAAGUCGUAACA
rnacentral:rRNA from 1 species